GACGAACGCUGGCGGCGUGCCUAAUACAUGCAAGUAGAACGCUGAAGGAGGAGCUUGCUUCUCUGGAUGAGUUGCGAACGGGUGAGUAACGCGUAGGUAACCUGCCUGGUAGCGGGGGAUAACUAUUGGAAACGAUAGCUAAUACCGCAUAAUAGUAGAUGUCGCAUGACAUUUGCUUAAAAGGUGCAAUUGCAUCACUACCAGAUGGACCUGCGUUGUAUUAGCUAGUUGGUGAGGUAACGGCUCACCAAGGCAACGAUACAUGGCCGACCUGAGAGGGUGAUCGGCCACACUGGGACUGAGACACGGCCCAGACUCCUACGGGAGGCAGCAGUAGGGAAUCUUCGGCAAUGGACGGAAGUCUGACCGAGCAACGCCGCGUGAGUGAAGAAGGUUUUCGGAUCGUAAAGCUCUGUUGUAAGAGAAGAACGAGUGUGAGAGUGGAAAGUUCACACUGUGACGGUAUCUUACCAGAAAGGGACGGCUAACUACGUG
rnacentral:rRNA from 1 species